rnacentral:rRNA from 1 species
AUACGUAGGGGGCUAGCGUUAUCCGGAAUUUACUGGGCGUAAAGGGUGCGUAGGUGGUUUCUUAAGUCAGAGGUGAAAGGCUACGGCUCAACCGUAGUAAGCCUUUGAAACUGGGAAACUUGAGUGCAGGAGAGGAAAGUGGAAUUCCUAGUGUAGCGGUGAAAUGCGUAGAUAUUAGGAGGAACACCAGUAGCGAAGGCGGCUUUCUGGACUGUAACUGACACUGAGGCACGAAAGCGUGGGGAGC